rnacentral:rRNA from 1 species
ACUCCUACGGGAGGCAGCAGUGGGGAAUAUUGGACAAUGGGCGCAACCCUGAUCCAGCAAUGCCGCGUGAGUGAUGAAGGCCUUAGGGUUGUAAAACUCUUUCGCCGGGGAAGAUAAUGACGGUACCCGGAGAAGAAGCACCGGCUAACUUCGUGCCAGCAGCCGCGGUAAU